CAACCCCGCCGGGCGCUCGGGACGCAGCGGGAAGGGAAAUUUUGCGCUGCAGACGAAGCUUUCGCUUUCCUGCAGAAAGAAGGGAGCGGCCGCGGUUCCCGAGUGCCCCGGCCGGGAUGUGAGGGAGGCGGUGGCGCGGCCGUGACGCGGCGCGGGGCGGGGCGGGGCGGGCGCGGGUCGGUCCGGCCAUGCCGAAGCGCUCCUGCCCCUUCGGGGACGCGGCCCCGCUGCAGCUGAAGACCCGCGUGGGGCUGCGGGAGCUGAGCCGCGGCGUGCGGGGCGAGGAGUACCGGCGGGAGGUGUUCGAGAGGACCCGGCGGCUGCUCUUCAGGGGUGCCCAGGCGUACAUGGAGGGCGCGGCGGCCGCGGCCCGUGCGGCGGAGCCGGGGCCGGCCGGGGAGGCGCCGGGCGAGGGGUCCCGCUGGAGCGGGCAGCUCCUCAUCGGCCACGACGGGAAACUGCGGCGGCGGCCCGCGGACAGGGUUCCGCCGCUGGGAGCGUCCAGAGCCUGCUCGUCGUGUGUGAGAGCGGCCGAUGUGAAGGAGGCGUGUGCGCAGUGUGACCGGCUCGUCUGCCAGAGCUGCAGCAGGCUCUGCAGCUGCUGUAACACGGUCACCUGCUCCUUGUGCUCCGCUGCUGAUUGUGCUAUGCCUGUCUGGAAGGGACCACUCUGUGCUCUUACCUGGUGUUCCUGAUGUGAUACAGGAUUCAGAAUAUUCUCCUCGCUUGUUGGUCAUGUUAGGACACACUUUUGUGGGAUCAGAAUAGAAAUCAUUUGCUCCCUCUGUGCUUCCAGCCAUUUCUUGUUGAAGAGAUGGAAAGGCCGUUGCAGUGCAGUUUGAGAGCCUGACUUCUCCCUCGUGGGGACACCUUUAUUUGACAUUCUGUUGGAGGCACUCUGGGUGUUUGCCUGUCAGAAUGCUGCAGCUCCCCAAAGAGAAUGGUAAAUGUUUUAGCAAAGGGUGGGGGUGGCUGUUGCAGGAGAGCAGCUCUUCAUAGCUGCAGUGUCAUGGCUUUGGGUGUAUCAGCCACAGUGAGGUGCAGGAUGCCAUCCUCUCUGGCCUGAGUAGCACUUUGUGUAACUGUGCAGGCACACUUUGAAAGCAUUUGUGCACUCCAGGGUUUCCUGAGGGGUGUCACUUCACUCCCAGCCAUCUGUGCCAGCUUAGACUGACCAUCUGUGCCAGCCUGGACAUGCUGAUGGAUCUGGUUGGUUUUCUUGUUCUGCAUGUUUUGAAGCCAGUUAAAAUGGGAGACUUUACUGGUUCUUACUCCAGUCUUUGUUUUGAGCAACUCUGAAAUGUGUCUUAUCUUCAUUCCCAUAACAAACAAACAAAAAAGUCUCAGGUGACUUGGUAGUGGAAGAAUUAGCUGGGAUGUGCAGGAAUUCCAUAGCAUUAUCUGUCUUUUCAAAGCUCUAAUAGAUGAAGUCAGGGUGGUGGCAGAUCUCUGGUGCAGUUCCCAGCUGGUGUCACAGGGCAGAUAAAAAUGUUGCUCCUGUGACAAUCAUUUUAAGCCACAAAAUGUUGGCUUAAAAUCCAUCAGUUUUAUGGAUGGGAAGAACCUGUGGUUUACUGCAUUUAGAUGUUACUUUUAGGAAAGAGUUUAAAAACUUGGCUGUGUUUUAUUUGAAGCUUUAGGCAAUGUACUAAAGCAUUUUUCAGUAAAGUAUAUUUUUCUAAACGAAACCUUUAAGUAUGUGUCUGCUUUUUCUUACUCUCUCCUGAGGGUGAGAGACUGAAAAUAAUGUUUUGCUUCUAGGCUCUGGGAGAGAUGAGAUGUGUUGUUUACAAAUGAUUUGUGUUUCAAAGUAGUGAUAGAAAUGGUUUUUUGGCUCAUUUAGUCACUGCUGUAUUUCAUAGAAAGCUGUCCUCUGUAAACAAUGACAUAAAUUUCAUGGCUUAAUGUUGUUAUUUGUUAUCCUCUAGCUGCUUGAAAGAUGGCUGUGCAUUAGGAUGGAUACCCAGUGCAGGGUGAGGAGCUGGGAGAAGAAAAGCAGGAGGGCUGGAAGAAGGUUAGGGGCUGGGAGGGGAAGGGCAGGAGGAGCACAGAGCAGCAUGGCCAACUCUUGCAGAGGGGAGGUCCUUCUUACAUGUGAGAAAUGGGGUUUAGUGGUUGCCACAUCUGCUUCUCUGGGUUCAGAAGGUGACAAAACUGCCUGUGUCUACAAAAGACUCAAAUAUUAUUCAGGAAAGUUCUUUUUCUAGUCCUGCAGUUCUCAGAUAAACAAUGGGAGGUAAGACUGGAGACUGUAAAUCUUUAUAAUGCCUACAGGAAAAAAAUAAAAACAAACAACCAGUGUGAAGGGAAGAAUCUUUGGGUGAGAAGUACAAAGAUUUUUCUCUUUGCCUUAUUAACUCCUCCUCACAAGGACUUAUCUGUUGCCACUGAUCAUUGAGCUGUUACAAUACAACACAUAGGGUACCCCUAGGACUGUAAAUGAGAGCCAGAGAAAUUGUCUGGUUUAUUAGCUGAGCAGGAAAUUGGGUUCAAUCCUGUGCUUUUUUGUUGUAAUUGUAUGUUCUUCCCCUCCCACUCAGUGCAAAGUGUCAAAAAUCAAAGUUUGCCUGCUGUUCCAAGGGAAGGAGAUCCCCUGAGGAGCCAGCAUAUUGAUGGGUAAAAAUAUCCUGCAGUAAUGAUUUUACAGAUGGAUGAGAAACUUCUGAGGCCUGUGUGUCAUUACUGGUGACAUUUGUCUCAAAGAGCAGACCUUUAUGUCCAAAAGGAAGUCAGUUGAUCUGAUCAGGAUAAAACAAUUUUUCUUAAGACUACUAACUGAGUCAGUUCUAGAAAUGUGUGGUUUCGUAGACAUCAGAUAUUUAAGGACAGUCUGAGGUGGUUAAUGACUGCAGUAAUCUCCAGACUGUAUUAGAACAAACCCACAACAUUGUAAAAAAGCUCACUGAGAAGAACAAAUACACUUGAGCUGUCUCUUCAAUAGUAUUUGUCCUGUACACAAAGGAAUUCUCAAUAUUUUGCAGUUCAGUCCAGAAAUCUGCUUUCCUCCAAGAGAAAGGUGAGCCAUCCUACAGUGAUCCAGACAACAGGAAAAUUAAAAAUAAAUAAAUGUUAGCUCUCCAUUCUGUGAUUGAUGUGUCUUUUGUUUAAUACAGCAGCACCUCAGCUUCUUCCCCUCCUUUUUGUUUUAGUGUCCUACACAUUUGGACUCUGACUUGUACUCAGUUCAUAGGCUUUUUUUGGUAUUCCUUUCUGAACAGGUGAUAACUAAAUGAAGCUGUGUUUUAUUUCAGGGCAGGGCAUAACCCAAAUAAUGCAGGUGAGAGUGAGAGACAAUGUUCUUUUUUCCUUACAAGUAUGGGCAAGGCAUUUAUGCUUUGUUCUGUGCUGGGUUUGCUGCCAUCAGAAGUGGCAGCAAUGUGCAAAGGGCUUAAAUCUGAAUCUUACUUUGAAGAGGUGCAGCCAAGAAGUAGAAAUGAAAAGAGUUUUCUUUGUCCCCGGGUUUGCUGGGCCUCUUUUCUUUUGUAAACUCUCAACUGGCCUCUGGCUGGGUUGGUGAGACAGCAGCAAAUGCCAGCACCAUGCAAGGAAUAAACACUUCUGUCUCACUGUGCUCCCUGCCAGUCAUUGUGUGAUGGCUUUGGGUUUUGACAGGAUCCAACUGGAUUAAAAAAUUGAAUCCCAGCAAAACUUACCUGUCAUUAAGUUCCCACUUGUGGAAUAUGUGUACAAACUUGCAUCUCCUGCUGCUCUGUAGCUUUUGCUUAGGUGUGAUACUGUUUCAUCAUGGCAAAUUCUGCAACUAAAAGCUCUUUGUGCUGCCUUUACCUCCCAGCUGGAUUCCAGGAGCACUGACUGCCUGGACACCAAGCCCUCUGUGCUGACAGAGUGUGGCAGAGCCCCUCCUGUUUGUUCUGUGUCUGUCCAGCUCCGUCCUCUGUUCUUUGCAGUGCUUUACCAUGGAUUGUCAGGCUAAGCUUAGAUCCAGACCACUGCAGGAGCAUGUGGGGCUGUCCAGGGAGGGAGAGGAAAACCUCAACCCACCCAAGAGCAGCACUCAGGACAAAACUGCUGCAGCAGCACAACCUGGGCUGUGGCAGCUUGGAAAAGGAGAGGGAUGUGAGGGCUCUUCCCAGAGAGCAUCCUGCCCCCAGCAGGCUUCUGAGUGAGGACAGGUAAGGCUGAGGAAGAUCACCUGUACCUGCUUUCCUCCACUCUCUUUGGAGUUUUUCACUACUGGGAAGGGAAGGUAGCAAAGCUUUGAACACUGUUUUUAGUAAGGUGAAUUGGUUAACCUAUUAAAAGCAGCCAAGAAGUCUCAGAAAAUGUAAAUGAUUCUUUAAGAAAUAAGUAGGAGCUGUUUAAUUUAAAGGCAAAUACUUGUGGGUAGAAAAUUGGAAUAAAAUUCUUCCAAAUUACUUUUUAUUUUACUUUCUUAAAAUUGGAAUAGGGUGAAAGUGAUCACACAAUGUUGUAUAUUUUAAUGGCUAAUACACAUGCACACACAUAUAUAACUUUUUUGUACAGAUAUUUUAUAUUGAUAGAUAUUAAAAUACCAUAGCUUUUACAGUUGAUUGCAUUUUGAACUGCUACAAUUGUAAUGCAAGCUUUAAUAUUUGCUGGUGGUGUGUAUUCUGGGCUUUUGUUAUUUUGUUUUCUUCCUCUGGGAAAAAACUCAGCUGGAAUCAAAUUAUUAUGUGUUACACUUUUAUUAAAAGUUUUUACUCUCAUGGCUGUGAUUUGCAUUAAAACCCUGUGAUAGAUGUUAAGUUACUUAUCUCUUGCAGAGCUUAUUUUUGCUUGAACAUUUUGUGGUUAUAGGAUUUACUUUAAAUGUUAGGAUUUAUUUAAUUGUAUUUUCUUACAUUG